UACGUAGGGGGCAAGCGUUGUCCGGAAUCAUUGGGCGUAAAGCGCGUGUAGGCGGCUCGGUAAGUCUGCUGUGAAAGUCCAGGGCUCAACCCUGGGAUGCCGGUGGAUACUGCUGGGCUAGAGUACGGAAGAGGCGAGUGGAAUUCCCGGUGUAGCGGUGAAAUGCGCAGAUAUCGGGAGGAACACCAAUUGCGAAGGCAGCUCGCUGGGACGUUACUGACGCUGAGACGCGAAAGCGUGGGGAGCAAACAGG
rnacentral:rRNA from 1 species